rnacentral:rRNA from 1 species
GUGCCAGCAGCCGCGGUAAUACGGAGGGUGCAAGCGUUAAUCGGAAUUACUGGGGCGUAAAGCGCACGCAGGCGGUCUGUCAAGUCGGAUGUGAAAUCCCCGGGCUCAACCUGGGAACUGCAUUCGAAACUGGCAGGCUGGAGUCUUGUAGAGGGGGUAGAAUUCCAGGUGUAGCGGUGAAAUGCGUAGAGAUCUGGAGGAAUACCGGUGGCGAAGGCGGCCCCCUGGACAAAGACUGACGCUCAGGUGCGAAAGCGUGGGAGCAAACAGGAUUAGAUAACCCUGGUAGUCCACGCCGUAACGAUGUCGACUUGGAGGUUGUGCCCGUUGA